CGCGGAGUGGAGCAGUUGGCCGCUCGUCGGGCUCAUAACCCGAAGGUCGUAGGUUCAAGUCCUGCCUCCGCAACCA
rnacentral:tRNA from 1 species